rnacentral:rRNA from 1 species
GACGAACGCUGGCGGCGUGCUUAACACAUGCAAGUCGAACGGAAAGGCCCUGCUUUUGUGGGUUGCUCGAGUGGCGAACGGGUGAGUAACACGUGAGUAACCUGCCCUUGACUUUGGGAUAACUUCAGGAAACUGGGGCUAAUACCGGAUAGGAGCUCCUGCUGCAUGGGGGGGGUUGGAAAGUUUCGGCGGUUGGGGAUGGACUCGCGGGUUAUCCGCUUGUUUGUGGGGUAGUGGCUUACCAAGGCUUUGACGGGUAGCCGGCCUGAGGGGGUGACAGGCCAAAUUGGGACCGAGAUACGGCAGCGACUCCUAAGGGAGGGAGCAGUGCGGAAUCUUGCCCAAUGGGCGGAAGCCUGAUGCAGCAACGCCGCGUGUGGGAUGACGGCCUUCGGGUUGUAAACCGAUUUCGCAUGUGACGAAGCGUGAGUGAAGGUAAUGGGUAAAGAAGCACCGGCUAAAUACGUG